rnacentral:rRNA from 1 species
AGUGGCGCACGGGUGCGUAACGCGUAUGCAACCUACCUUAAUCAGGGGGAUAGCCCGGAGAAAUCCGGAUUAACACCGCAUAAAAACACAGGAUAGCAUUAUCCAAUGUUCAAAUAUUUAUAGGAUUGAGAUGGGCAUGCGUGUCAUUAGCUAGUUGGCGGGGUAACGGCCCACCAAGGCGACGAUGACUAGGGGAUCUGAGAGGAUGACCCCCCACACUGGUACUGAGACACGGACCAGACUCCUACGGGAGGCAGCAGUAAGGAAUAUUGGUCAAUGGAGGCAACUCUGAACCAGCCAUGCCGCGUGCAGGAAGACUGCCCUAUGGGUUGUAAACUGCUUUUAUCCGGGAAUAAACCUCUUUACGAGUAAAGAGCUGAAUGUACCGGAAGAAUAAGGAUCGGCUAACUCCGUGCCAGCAGCCGCGGUAAUACGGAGGAUCCAAGCGUUAUCCGGAUUUAUUGGGUUUAAAGGGUGCGUAGGCGGCCUGUUAAGUCAGGGGUGAAAGACGGUAGCUCAACUAUCGCAGUGCCCUUGAUACUGAUGGGCUUGAAUGGACUAGAGGUAGGCGGAAUGAGACAAGUAGCGGUGAAAUGCAUAGAUAUGUCUCAGAACACCGAUUGCGAAGGCAGCUUACUAUGGUCUUAUUGACGCUGAGGCACGAAAGCGUGGGGAUCAAACAGGAUUAGAUACCCUGGUAGUCCACGCCCUAAACGAUGAACACUCGCUGUUGGCGAUACACAGUCAGCGGCUAAGCGAAAGCGUUAAGUGUUCCACCUGGGGAGUACGGUCGCAAGAUUGAAACUCAAAGGAAUUGACGGGGGCCCGCACAAGCGGAGGAGCAUGUGGUUUAAUUCGAUGAUACGCGAGGAACCUUACCCGGGCUUGAAAGUUAGUGAAUGAUUUAGAGAUAGAUCAGUCCGCAAGGACACGAAACUAGGUGCUGCAUGGCUGUCGUCAGCUCGUGCCGUGAGGUGUUGGGUUAAGUCCCGCAACGAGCGCAACCCCUAUGUUUAGUUGCCAGCACGUUAUGGUGGGGACUCUAAACAGACUGCCUGUGCAAACAGAGAGGAAGGAGGGGACGACGUCAAGUCAUCAUGGCCCUUACGUCCGGGGCUACACACGUGCUACAAUGGAUGGUACAGAGGGCAGCUACAUAGCAAUAUGAUGCGAAUCUCACAAAGCCAUUCACAGUUCGGAUUGGGGUCUGCAACUCGACCCCAUGAAGUUGGAUUCGCUAGUAAUCGCGUAUCAGCAAUGACGCGGUGAAUACGUUCCCGGGCCUUGUACACACCGCCCGUCAAGCCAUGGAAGUUGGGGGUACCUAAAGUAUGUAACCGCAAGGAGCGUCCUAGGGUAAAACCGAUAACUGGGGCUAAGUCGUAACAAGGU